rnacentral:rRNA from 1 species
GACGAACGCUGGCGGCGUGCCUAAUACAUGCAAGUAGAACGCACAGUUUAUACUGUAGCUUGCUACACCAUACACUGUGAGUUGCGAACGAGUGUGUAACGCGUAGGUAACCUGCCUGGUAGCGGGGGAUAACUAUUGGAAACGCUAGCUAAUACCGCAUAAUAUUGAUUAUUGCAUGAUAAUUGAUUGAAAGAUGCUAUUGCAUCACUACCAGAUGGACCUGCGUUGGAUUAGCUAGUAGGUGAGGUAACGGCUCACCUAGGCGACGAUACAUAGCCGACCUGAGAGGGUGAUCGGCCACAAUGGGACUGAGACACGGCCCAGACUCCUACGGGAGGCAGCAGUAGGGAAUCUUCGGAAAUGGACGAAAGUCUGACCGAGCAACGCCGCGUGAGUGAAGAAGGUUUUCGGAUCGUAAAGCUCUGUUGUAAGGGAAGAACGGGUGUGAGAGUGGAAAGUUCACACUGUGACGGUAUCUUACCAGAAAGGGACGGCUAACUACGUG